rnacentral:rRNA from 1 species
CAGCAGCCGCGGUAAUACGUAGGGGGCGAGCGUUGUUCGGAAUUACUGGGCGUAAAGGGCAUGUAGGCGGCUUUGUAAGCCCGGCGUGAAAGCCCACGGCUCAACCGGUGGAUUGCGUUGGGAACUGCGAGGCUUGAAUCAUGGAGAGGGAGCUAGAAUUCCUGGUGUAGGGGUGAAAUCUGUAGAGAUCAGGAAGAAUACCAGUGGCGAAGGCGAGCUCCUGGCCAAUGAUUGACGCUGAGGUGCGAAAGUGUGGGGAUCAAACAGGAUUAGAUACCCUGGUAGUCCACACUGUAAACGAUGUGCACUAGGUGCUGGGGCGGAUGCUUCAGUGCCGGAGCUAACGCGGUAAGUGCACCGCCUGGGGAGUAUGCUCGCAAGGGUGAAACUCAAAGGAAUUGACGG